rnacentral:lncRNA from 1 species
AAGGUUUUCUAGAAAAUUCAGUCUUAUGUAAUAAUACUGGUUAAAGUGUUUACGUAUAUAGAUAUUUUGUUGAUUCUUACUCUCGAGAAUCUUCUACAUUUGGAGAAUAGGCGGGUGUUUCGCAAUACCUAUCUAACAGUAUAAGCUAUGUAUGUUACUAAAUAUUAACUUAAUUUAAACAACGUUCAUAUUAAAAUAAAUACAUAACAACAAAUUCGUUACAACUUUUAGAUAAUUUUUGAGAAGAGAAAUGCCAAUUCAUCGUUUUACUCACCCCUGUACACUUGUACGCAAUGUAUCGCCCUCUUGAAUGCAGAUAGGUGCUCAUUCUCUUCAUUUGUCAUUUAUCCAUUAUUAGAAAAUAGUGGUUCAGUGAUUAUGAAGUGAAAUUAUUGACGGAUCAUGGUGUUACUGUUAGGUAUUAGGACAUUGUGAAUUAAUGUGUUCAAACAAAAUGUGCUUAUUUUGCGGACAACUUGAAAGCUCUCAAAUACCUUUAAUUUUAAACAAGUUAUCACCAUUUUGAUAUUCAACUUCAAGGUAAGGGAUGUAGGAAUGGUAAAGACUACAACUACAACUGUAUUUGUAUAGCUGAACGAUGUUUUCCUGAUAACAAUGACAUUGAAAGCUUGUGACGUUGUAAUGUGGAUUUCUAUCAGAUUUUUGGUCUGAUGCAGGAUAAUGUUUGCAUUCACACUGCCAGGAUUGAGAUUUACUGCCUUGAACAAGAAGUUAUAGAGAUCAGUCAUUGGUCAAUAAGAAUUCCUUAUCUAAAUCCCAUGCCACAUAUCUUGAUAAUGUAUUGACUGAGAAGCAAGAAAAGAUCUCUCAUAACAUUGGCCACACACUGAUUGGAAGCAGGCCUCACAAAUCAGAAAUUCUGCCAAUGCUGAAGGGCCUUGUUACUGAAUGUCUUUUUUUUCAAAUGUGUGUCUUUCAGAUAAGUGAAUUCAGUCAGACCCUAACUCUUACCACAUUUAAUAUGAGAUUACUGAUGCUCCUAGGGUUUCAAUAAGUGAUGGUGAUGUGUAUUAUCAAUGAAACUGAUAUAUCCUGUGAAUAAAAUCUAGAUUAUUUUGGAGGAAUAUUAUAAUAAAUGCACCAUAUACAAUGUACCAAAAAUGUUUCACUUUAUUAAGUUCUUCAACUGUGUGUUAAUGGCUUUCAAGUAUUUCAAUGCAUAGAUUACAAAAAAUGUUAUAAAAUUUAAAAAAUUCAUUAUAUUUACAAAAAAGGAAAAUUAUUUUUCUAUACUAAAAAAAGCCUGAAAAGAUCAAAAUUUAAAUUCAAGCUAUAAAACUUUGGGAGAAAAUGUCUGUGAAAAGAGAUGUACAGGGUUUUAUGUUAAAGUCCAUAAGGUAAGGAAUGUUAUUAUACUAUUCUACUGAUCUAUAUACUUAUCCACACAAUCAUAACCCCCCUUUUAUUAAAGCUUCUACAUAUGAACCUAAGGAUUUGAAUAGCCUUAACCCGAUGACUACCGGCUACUAACUAAUACAAAAUGGAAAGAGAUUUACAAAACAGAGGACCCGAAAGAAAUAUUGAACCUGACCUAUCAAAGCUGUUCUAAAGGGUAAGCCAAAUCCAUAGACAGUCAGAAACACUAUUAUAACAUGAAGGUCAAGGGUCAAUAUUUCAAGAUUGGACAGAAGGUUUUAGUUCUGUUACCUACAGACAACAACAAACUCACCUAGCAGUGCAAAGGAUCUUUCACAGUACAGGAAGUGGUAAGCAAAUGCACUAUAAUGUGAAAGUCAAUGGAACAACCAUGUCUACCAUACCAAUCUGUUGAAGAGGUAAUUAAACAAUAUUUGCAUGCUUUGCUAAAAUUUUUGAAUAAAAAUGGGUAUAUAUAUAGAAUGUUGGGAAUUGUGUAUCCAGAGCUCUUAAUAGCAGCAACAUCAAAUCAGAGUGAACUAAGGUAAUUUGCAUACAUAUUUUUAUAAGUAUUUUAUUAGCUUAGGUGCUUAAAAAAAUUCAACCCUUUAUUUUAUACUGUUUUUUUUAUCACAAUACUUUGACUUGACAGCAACAGUUAAAAGAUAAAAAUUGUAUCAUUUUCAUGAUUAAGUCUGUAUAAUCACCUAAAUUACUAAUUUAUUUAUUUUUACUAGAUACUAAUGUAAUAAUCUAACAACUUUACAGAUAAAAAUAGUAACCACAGUAAACUGGAGGACUGACAAUAAGUUUAUUGUUUGAUUAAGAAUGAAAUUUUGAUUUGACUGGAUUGAAGAAGAGAGACUGAAUACAAUGUUGAAUACAGUAAAACCUAUCUUUAGUCAAAGCAAUACAGACCAAAAUAAUUUGUGCAUGAAAUGUCAUACAGUGGUUAUAGAUGACAGGAAGAGAAGUUUGAAUUCCCAAUUAUUUCAAAGAGAUUCUGUUGUAGAUUGAAUGUAAAAAUGGACAUAAACUUUUUCUAUUUUUCAGGCUUGAAAUUGGUUUACUUCUAUGUAACAAUGUAAAAUUCAAAUCAUUUAUAGAACAAGUUGAAAAUACUAUUUUGUCAAAAUUGCUGUCAAUUUUUUAUCACUACUGGAAAAUUGCUAUUCCAAAUGGUCUGUCUUGGAGAAAUUCCAAAAGAGAGCCAUUUCUUUUUUUAUGUGUGUAUGUGUGAUUUCAACCACAGCUCUAGUGGUAUUUCAUUAUUAUGUCAGUUAGACUGGCCACUUUUAGUUUCAUAACAAAAUGCACAUAUCUUCUGUUAUUACUCAUGUUGAGGUAAUGGAAGAGUUAAUUCAUGUUGUUAGUUUUAUAUAAUGAAACUUUCAGUUUUUGCCAUUUCCUCUGUAAUAAACUUGUGAUAGAAUUUAAAACAUUUCCAUUCUUAACGUUAUAGACAAGAACUUUCUUUCUUAUUAUCUUGGCAAUGAUUCAUUUUAAUAGUUUUCUUCCUUCCUAGAUUCAGUAUCUACUGAUCAUCGAGUACUAAUAUUUAAUUUUAUCUCACUUGUUUACAUUAAGAAAUAUUUGCAAUAUUUUCAUAGUCAAGGACAGAGAGGAAUCAUAGUGCAUUAUACUUCAUUUAGAUUUGUCAGCAAGGCUGUUACCAGUAACUCUGUGGAUAUUUUGAACAAUUUGAUUUAAUAUAAUUGACCCUUUUUAAAUAUCUGCACAUAAAUACAUUCUCUCAAGUAAUUUUGUAUCUCUGUCAUAGAACAAAUUAGAAAAAGUAAUAGAUAACACAGUAUUAUGUAAAGGUGACAUGUUUAGCAUUUAUAGAUUUCUCAUUUCACCAUUGAGAAUUUAGUAUUUCUGCCAUUGAGAGUGAAUGUAGUAUUCAUCGCCUAUUUUCCUGUACAUUUUAUAUCAAUGGAGAUCUGCAUACUUCAAUUUUAAUAAAGGUGGUGUUAUUUUGGAAAAUAUGGUGAAAGAUGGUCACAUCAUCACAUUCCAAACAGCUUAUGUGUACCCAGUUUCUGAAACCUAAAAUAAAAUAAAGUUACUAAGGAGAAUGUUAUUGUGAUCCAAAAUAUUCUCAAAAUCUUAGUAAGUAUAAAAAUCUUGCUUCUAAGGUACAGAGACUUUAAAAGAAUGUGAUUCUGAAGAAUGAAGAAUAUUCUGGGAAUAUUUGCUGUGUAUGAGGAUUUUGUAUCUGUUACAGUUUUCCUUAAUAUAUGAAUUGUGGAUUUUGCAAAAAAUAAAAAAGUUGAAUUUGUUUGUGGACUUAUGGCUGAGCUAGGCUGGUUUUGGAUAAUUCUUUUCUUCAUCAAUAAAAACCAAACAACAGGGUCUUUUCUUGUGGUUAACUGUGGUCCAUUUGUAAUGUUCUUUACUCACUACAAGUGGCCUAUUCUAAUAUAGGUAAUGUUAUACACUUACCAGAUGCCAAUUGUGGCAGGAACAAAUCUUUAUAUAAUUAGUGUGUGUUGUUAAUAUUAUAAAAUUUUCUUUUAUAACAAAUGCUAGAUUGUGUAAUUUUAUCUACAGAGAGAAAUACCUUAAAUAACAUAUUUUAUGAGGAGUAGUAAGCAGUGCCCCUCAUUCUGUAAAUUUUCUACAGAGUUACAAAUAUGUAUGUAUGCUUAUCUAUCUAGUUGAAGAUCGUAUAAGGUAAGUGUUUUAUAAUAUUUGUUCAAGGCUAGAUCCCAUCUUCCUAAUAUUUAUAUUACCAAUUUAGUUAGAUGAUUUUCUUCUUGGAAACUUAUCAUUACACCAGGUGUUUGCAUUUGUGUUUGUUCAUGGGAUAAUAGCCCAGUCAGGCUUGGCCUUGUAUUGGUGUAAAAUGUAUUAUCCUUGUGAAUCUGAUUACCUCCACAAGAACUAAAGAAUGAAUGUGAAAAAAGGUGGCAUUAUAUUACAGUAGGAUUUUUAAAUUUUAAAUAUAUAUAUAUAUAUUUACUGUAAUUUUAAUAAUGUUAUAUUUCUUACAAAAACAUGUCACCAUAAAUGGGUUAGAGAUGAAAAAAAAGAAGAGUUUAAAAUCCAUGUGUCAUGCUUGUUUAAGCUUAGAUAAGGUUUUAGUAGUCAAUAUCCUCUCAGUCUGGUCAUGUGAUCCUUCUUCCUUUGAUGAUGAACAAUAUAAACUAGGUUGAAUCAGAUCUGAAUGUUGUUGCUGUAGUAGCUCUUUGAGUGCCACAUUUUGGUAGUUACAUAACCAACAAAUUUAUUAUGUAGUGUUUAAGUUUAUAAGCUUUUGAUUUUUUUCAAGGAACUAGUUUAUGUUUUUUCUUUACUGAGAGAUUUCAGAAAAGAAAGUGAUCUGUGGGACCAUUAUCAAUCAAUCUUUGUAGUUUUUCUCUAAGAAGUAUAGAGAACACUUAACAGCUACAUGAGGAUAUGAAUACAUGUAAAACUGCACCAAGUUAAAAAGUAAAAACAUGAAUUUUCAUUGGCAGGGUUUUAAGAGAGUAGCAAUACAAAGAAUAUAUUAUGCCGUUAUGUCAUUCAUGGAAUCUUUCCGAUUUUAACAUAACUUAAAAUUACUGAAUCUAUGUUUUAGCAUUUCUGAAUCAAUAGUUAUAGGAUUGCCAUUUAGAAAAGAAAAUGUAUUUAUAUUGAAUUUUAUUUAAAAAAAUACCAUUUGAAGAAAACAAUUCAAUAUAAUUAAAUGUUUAUACUAAAAACAGAAUGUAAAUAUGACUUAUAUUGUUUUGGUCCUAACUUUUAAAAUAUUUGUUUGAAUUUGUUUCGUGAAACUGUAUGUGCAUUGUAAUACAUUUCCAUUGUAGCAUUCAGAUGAGUGUUCAAUAUGAUGUAAACACUUUUGAACAUAAUUGCAGGAAACUAUUGUUGUGUUGUGAAUUUUGUUUAAUAAAAGGAAUGUGAUUGUAAGUUUCUAAAUAAA